rnacentral:rRNA from 1 species
UACGGAGGGUGCAAGCGUUAAUCGGAAUUACUGGGCGUAAAGCGUACGUAGGCGGUUAUUUAAGUCAGAUGUGAAAGCCCCGGGCUUAACUUGGGAACUGCAUUUGAAACUGGGUAACUAGAGUUUAGUAGAGGGGAGUGGAAUUUCAGGUGUAGCGGUGAAAUGCGUAGAGAUCUGAAGGAACACCAGUGGCGAAGGCGACUCCCUGGACUAAAACUGACGCUGAGGUACGAAAGCGUGGGUAGCAAACAGGAUUAGAUACCCUGGUAGUCC